rnacentral:tRNA from 1 species
GCCUGGGUGGCUCAGUCGGUUAAGCACCGGACUUCGGCUCGGGUCAUGAUCUUGUGGUUCGUGGGUUCAAGCCCCGCAUCGGGCU